UCCCUGAGACCCUAACUUGUGAGGUUUUUAGUAACAAUCACAAGUCAGGCUCUUGGGACCU
rnacentral:pre_miRNA from 1 species